ACUCUACUAGGCGUAUUUCAAUUUCAGCGGCCGCGAAUUUCGCCCUUAAGAAGUUCUGAUCCCUGGCUCAGGAUGAACGCUGGCGGCGUGCUUAACACAUGCAAGUCCGAACGAACCUUCGGGUUAGUGGCGGACGGGUGAGUAACGCGUGAGAAUCUGCCCUCAGGAGGGGGAUAACGGUUGGAAACGACCGCUAAUACCCCAUAUGCCUACUGGUGAAAUGAAUUCUCGCCUGAGGAUGAGCUCGCGUCUGAUUAGCUAGUUGGUGAGGUAAUGGCUCACCAAGGCUUCGAUCAGUAGCUGGUCUGAGAGGAUGAUCAGCCACACUGGGACUGAGACACGGCCCAGACUCCUACGGGAGGCAGCAGUGGGGAAUUUUCCGCAAUGGGCGAAAGCCUGACGGAGCAACGCCGCGUGAGGGACGAAGGCCUCUGGGCUGUAAACCUCUUUUCUCAAGGAAGAAGAUAUGACGGUACUUGAGGAAUAAGCCACGGCUAAUUCCGUGCCAGCAGCCGCGGUAAUACAAGAGGACCAAGCGUCAUCGGAAUAAUUCGGCGUAAAGCGUCCGCAAGCCGCUUUCAAGUCUGCUGGUAAAGCGUGGAGCUUAACUCCAUCAUGGCAGUGGAAACUGAAAGGCUUGAGUAUGUAGGGCAGAGGGAAUUCCCCGGUGUAGCGGUGAAAUGCGUAGAUAUCGGGAAGAACACCAGUGGCGAACGCGCUCUGCUGGGCCAUUACUGACGCUCAUGGACGAAGCCAGGGGAGCGAAAGGGAUUAGAUACCCCUGUAGUCCUGGCCGUAACGAUGACACUAGGUGUCGGGGGAAAUCGACCCUUUCGGUGUCGUAGCUAACGCGUUAAGUGUUCCGCCUGGGGAGUACGCACGCAGUGUGAAACUCAAGGAUGACGGGGCCCGCACAGCGUGAGUAUGUGGAUUAAUCCGAUGCAACGCGAGACCUACACGGUGACAUCCUGCGAACUCAUAGAAAUUUGAACGUGCCUUCGGGAAUGCAGUGACAGGUGGUGCAUGGCUGUCGUCAGCUCGUGUCGUGAGAUGUUGGGUU
rnacentral:rRNA from 1 species